UUAUCCCACCGAGGCCACCAUAGACCAGCCAGCCCUCAGCGUACAUGCCAGCUAAUUACAGAUGCAGGAGCAAACCCCUGGCCCAUACAUCAAUUUUAAUGUCAUUGAAUACAGAGAACAAAUCUCAUUCAUUUUGGUAUCGGCUCAAGUCAACAAACAUUUAAAAAUCAUUUACUGCAUCUGAUUUUGGAUUUUGAGUCUUGCUCUAUGGCCCAGACUGGAGUGCAGUGGCGUGAUCUUGGCUCACUUCAACCUCCACCUCCCGGGUUCGAGAGAGAUUCUCCUGCCUCAUCCUCCCGAGUAGCUGGGAUCACCGGCGCCCACAACCACACCCGACUAAUUUUUGUACUUUUAGUGGAGACAGGGUUUCACCAUGUUGGCUAGGCUGGUCACAAACUCCCGACCUCAGGUUAUCCAUCUGCCUUGGCCUCCCAAAGUGCUGGGAUUACAGGCGUGAGCCCCCGCACCUGGCCAAGAUCAGCUAGAUUUUGGAAGCAUUGCCUUCUACAGAAUCCACAGUAGUCCGAAGUUCUUCUACGGUUUUUGUCAAACUUUGAUUUUCCAUCUCUAGCUUCAAUAAUCUACUUGAUGUCAACUCAUUCACCUCAUGGCCCAGGGAUUUCUGGGGUGCUAUAAUAUUGAAAAAUACACCAUUGUAUUUACUCUUUACUGUUUUUACUAUGUUUACUCUUUACUAUUUAAAAAGUUGAGUGUAUAUGCAUUGCAUCAUCUGAUCCUUAACUUUAUUAAAAAUUCAAUGAGGUUAUAUAAGAUAAACAA
rnacentral:antisense_RNA from 1 species